rnacentral:lncRNA from 1 species
AGAAGGGAAGCUACUCCACUAGCUAGCUUAGUAGGAAGACUCGCCGAUACUGUGUCGUUACGUUACAGCGCUCGACCAAAACUUCACUUUCAUGCGCCACAAGUAGCUCAGUUAACAGCUACGUGUUUACUCACCUUUCAAGAGGCUACAGCACAGCUCACGGUAAUACCAUGGACAAGCAGUGGACAGCACACACAACUUUUAAACCUUACGCAGACUGCUGUGGUCCAUCUAGGGUGUACAAAAGACAAAGGACAGGUUCAAGCACCGCUAUCCUGGCUGGAAAUAGUUUGAGAAAUGCAUAGGUGGAUGGAAGUUUAUCAUGAAUGUGCAAAAAGAAUUGCAGUCAGAGCAGAACAUUCAAGACUGACAAACAUUAAUUCAUGAAUUCAUUCUUGCAAGGGAUUCAUAAAAUACCUCCAGGAAUGGUGAAAAUACAAAACACAUUUAUACAUUCUUACAAACAUGUAAAAGUAGAGGAAAAACUAAGUGGCAAUGUCUAAAUUCAGUUGGAAGAUCUGGUGAAAUGCACCUUUAUUCUGUAGCAGAGAAAACUAUAAUGAGAUGACACUAGAGGUCAGUGUCAGAUUGCAGCUACGAGUCUUGUUACGCACUGUGAAUUGACAGGUCCCAAGAGUACACAAUGUUGAUACAGUUGCUCUGUCAGAAGUGUUUGACAUUUGCUGAAUGUGUCCUUAUCUAUGAAACUCAAAAGAAGAAAAUUAUCAUAAAAAUAAUCAAAGUGAAAUGAAAUGGACCUGUAGUGUUUUGCAGACCUUCAUUUUCAUGGGCCUGGGCUAUCCUUUAGGAGCAUAAAUGUACUUUUGCAUGAUGUUAAUUGUGUGAAAAAGGUGUCCGCUAAUGUAUGUUCUGUCACUAAUGAAAAAGAGAUAACAUCAGCCUAGUGAAAAGUGUGAUCACAUAUAAAAUUGUUAUAAUAUUAUAUUCAAAUGUGAGCUGUUUAAAAUGUAGACUUUAUAACAAUCACUGUGCUUCUAAAACAGUGGGUAUUCAUAGCAAAGUAAAAUUACACCUUAGUGUUUUAAAAACCCAACAACAAAGAGGAUGGUAAUAGAUGUAGCUGGAAUGGUUAAUGUUUCUAAAGUACAAGGGAUUUCUGGAUAAAUAUGUACUCAAUGUGUUUAUGACUUGUGAAUUUGGCUGUUGAAAAUCUGCAACAAUGUUAUUUUAUCCAUGAGAUUAUUUCCUUUUUUCACAAAUACAGUUUGAAAUUUAAUGGUUGACCAUUCUCAUCCCACUAGUUGUGAGAUGUUAGUGUAGUGUCUGGAUUGGAAAAUAGGAAAUAAAAAAUGAAAUGCUAAUAAAUGAA